UCACACAUAUCUGCUGUUACUGCUGCUGCACGAGCGCUUCCUGCAGUACACCAUCCUCUGCUUCUGUCAGCUUCAUUAAACGAGUCCUUAAACGCAUCCAGCAGGUUUUUAUUUUUAUUUUAUUUUUCGUACAGAAUUAAUGCAAUAUAAUUCAGCUACUUUAUCAUCCUCAGACUCAGUUCAAAACUCAGUUGAGCUUGUCUCCGGUGAAACUUCUCAACAACGCAGCUGCUGAGAGCACGGGCUUUUUAAGUCCACAGGAGAGAGCGGUUCUCAGUGCCACCGCAGAUUUGGUGCACUCUUUCAAGGAAAUAAAGGUUUUGGAGUCAGUCAUGUCAUCUCUCAGCUACGAGUGAAAUGCGAGGCCGUGGUCUAAAGUUCGCAGUUCCCCCGUGAACAGCAGCGCUUCACCCGCUCAGAUUUCAGCGACACACAUUUCGGUAAAAAAUGAUUACAGAGAA